rnacentral:rRNA from 1 species
AAUUCGACGCAACGCGCAGAACCUUUACCUUAGACUUGACAUCCCGGGGAUUUUCUGGAAACAGAGAAGUGCUUUAGCAAUAAAGAACCCGGUGACAGGUGCUGCAUGGCUGUCGUCAGCUCGUGUCGUGAGAUGUUGGGUUAAGUCCCGCAACGAGCGCAACCCUCGCCUUUAGUUGCCAGCAUUCAGUUGGGCACUCUAGAGGGACUGCCGGUGUCAAACCGGAGGAAGGUGGGAUGACGUCAAGUCCUCAUGGCCUUUAUGUCUAGGGCUACACACGUACUACAAUGGCCGGUACAAAGGGCAGCCACUCAGCGAUGAGGCGCUAAUCCCAUAAAGCCGGUCUCAGUCCGGAUCGCAGUCUGCAACUCGACUGCGUGAAGUUGGAAUCGCUAGUAAUCGUAGAUCAGCAUGCUACGGUGAAUACGUUCCCGGGCCUU